rnacentral:rRNA from 1 species
AGAGUUUGAUCCUGGCUCAGGACGAACGCUGGCGGCGUGCCUAAUACAUGCAAGUCGAGCGAACUGAUAAGGAGCUUGCUCCUUUGACGUUAGCGGCGGACGGGUGAGUAACACGUGGGCAACCUACCUGUAAGACUGGGAUAACUUCGGGAAACCGGAGCUAAUACCGGAUGAAUCUUUUCUUCGCAUGAAGAAGAGAUAAAAGAUGGUUUCGGCUAUCACUUACAGAUGGGCCCGCGGCGCAUUAGCUAGUUGGUGAGGUAAGAGCUCACCAAGGCAACGAUGCGUAGCCGACCUGAGAGGGUGAUCGGCCACACUGGGACUGAGACACGGCCCAGACUCCUACGGGAGGCAGCAGUAGGGAAUCUUCCGCAAUGGACGAAAGUCUGACGGAGCAACGCCGCGUGAGCGAUGAAGGUCUUCGGAUCGUAAAGCUCUGUUAUUAGGGAAGAACAAGUAUCGGAGUAACUGCCGGUACCUUGACGGUACCUAACCAGAAAGCCACGGCUAACUACGUGCCAGCAGCCGCGGUAAUACGUAGGUGGCAAGCGUUGUCCGGAAUUAUUGGGCGUAAAGCGCGCGCAGGCGGUCCUUUAAGUCUGAUGUGAAAGCCCACGGCUCAACCGUGGAGGGUCAUUGGAAACUGGAGGACUUGAGUGCAGAAGAGGAGAGUGGAAUUCCACGUGUAGCGGUGAAAUGCGUAGAGAUGUGGAGGAACACCAGUGGCGAAGGCGACUCUCUGGUCUGUAACUGACGCUGAGGCGCGAAAGCGUGGGUAGCGAACAGGAUUAGAUACCCUGGUAGUCCACGCCGUAAACGAUGAGUGCUAAGUGUUAGAGGGUUUCCGCCCUUUAGUGCUGCAGUUAACGCAUUAAGCACUCCGCCUGGGGAGUACGGCCGCAAGGCUGAAACUCAAAGGAAUUGACGGGGGCCCGCACAAGCGGUGGAGCAUGUGGUUUAAUUCGAAGCAACGCGAAGAACCUUACCAGGUCUUGACAUCCCGCUGACCGGUAUAGAGAUAUACCUUUCCCUUCGGGGA